AUCGAACGCUGGCGGCAGGCCUAACACAUGCAAGUCGAGCGGAGCGGCGGACGGGUGAGUAAUGCCUAGGAAUCUGCCUGGUAGUGGGGGAUAACGUCCGGAAACGGGCGCUAAUACCGCAUACUAUCAGAUGAGCCUAGGUCGGAUUAGCUAGUUGGUGGGGUAAAGGCCUACCAAGGUGACGAUCCGUAACUGGUCUGAGAGGAUGAUCAGUCACACGGGAACUGGGACACGGGCCAGACUCCUACGGGAGGGAACAGUGGGGAAUAUUGGGCAAAGGGCGAAAGCCUGAUCCGGCCAUUCCGCGGGAGUGAUGACGGCCUUCGGGUUGUAAAGCUCUUUUAAUCGGGACGCGGUACCGGAAUAGAAAGCCACGGCUAACUACGUGCCAGCAGCCGCGGUAAUUC
rnacentral:rRNA from 1 species